rnacentral:RNase_P_RNA from 1 species
GAAGUUAGCUAGACAGUCGCCGUCACACUUGUGUGAAGGAGGAAAGUCCGGGCUGCAUAGAGCAAGAUGACGGCUAACGGCCGGACGCCGCGAGGCGAGGAAUAGGGCCACAGAGACGAGCGUAUUUAGUUACGGUGAAACGCGGCAACCUCCAUCUGCAGCAAGACCAAAUAGACUGGCAAUAGGCGUGACUCGCGCUGCUAGUGGGUAGGUUGCUUGAGCGCAUGAGCAAUUGUGUGCCUAGAUGAAUGACUGUUACGUGCAGCAAUGCACGACAGAACCCGGCUUAUCGGCUAACUUCACAA